rnacentral:rRNA from 1 species
AUUGAACGCUGGCGGCAGGCCUAACACAUGCAAGUCGAGCGGAGCGGCGGACGGGUGAGUAAUGCCUAGGAAUCUGCCUGGUAGUGGGGGAUAACGUCCGGAAACGGGCGCUAAUACCGCAUACUAUCAGAUGAGCCUAGGUCGGAUUAGCUAGUUGGUUGGGUAAAGGCCUACCAAGGCGACGAUCCGUAACUGGACUGAGAGGAUGAUCAGUCACACUGGAAGUGAGACACGGACAAGACUCCGACGGGAGGCAGCAGUGGGGAAUAUUGGACAAUGGGCGAAAGCCUGAACCAGCCAAGCCGCGUGUGUGAAGAAGUUCUUCAGAUUGUAAAGCACGAUAAGUUGGGAGGCGUUACCAACAGAAUAAGCACCGGCUAACUUCGUGCCAGCAGCCGCGGUAAUUC